CCGAGAGCAGGUCCCCGGGCGGGGGCAGCGGCGACUCCCGGGAGGCGGGGAGGGAGCCGGGACGCCACGUCGCCUGCCCUGCCCCGGCUGCACACUCCGCUCCGCCCAGCCCUCCCGGGCCUCCCCAUAGAAGGUGCCUGUAGCAUGUGACGGCACACCCUUGUAGGCUGUGUCUCUCCUCCAGGAACUGUGCUUCUCUGAUGCAGACACUACACUUUUUUUUUUUUACCAUGGGAGGAAAGUGAAGCAUAAAAAGAAUGUCACUGAGCAUGCAGGGUCAAGGGACAUAAGACUUGGUUCCAAAUCUGUCUCUAACUUCAUGUGCGGACUUAGGCCUGUCUCCUUCUGUCUCUUGAGAGUCCCUUGGACUGCAAGGAGAUCCAACCAGUCAAUCCUAAAGGAAAUCAGUCCUGAAUAUUCGUUGGAAGAACUGAUGCUGAAGCUGAAACUCCAGUACUUUGACCA